UACGUAGGUGGCAAGCGUUGUCCGGAUUUAUUGGGUUUAAAGGGUGCGUAGGCGGCUUUUUAAGUCAGUGGUGAAAGCCGAUCGCUUAACGAUCGAACUGCCAUUGAUACUGAGAGGCUUGAGUAUAGUUGAGGUAGGCGGAAUUGACAGCGUAGCGGUGAAAUGCUUAGAUAUGACAUAGAACACCAAUUGCGAAGGCAGCUUACUACACAAUGAUUGACGCUGAGGCACGAAAGCGUGGGGAUCAAACAGG
rnacentral:rRNA from 1 species